UUUUUAUAAUUUUACUGAUUUAAAAUGACUAUAUUAAUUAAUAAAUCUUAAAAAUUAUUAGUUUGGGGUGAAUUUAAAAUUUAUAAAACUUUUAAUUAUUUAAAUAAUAAUUUUUAAUUUAUUGAUCCAAAUUUUUUGAUUAUAAAAUUAAGU
rnacentral:rRNA from 1 species